UACGUAGGGUGCGAGCGUUGUCCGGAAUUAUUGGGCGUAAAGAGCUUGUAGGUGGCUCGUCGCGUCGGGAGUGAAAACCCGCGGCUUAACCGCGGGCCUGCUUUCGAUACGGGCGGGCUAGAGGUUCGGCAGGGGAGACUGGAAUUCCUGGUGUAGCGGUGGAAUGCGCAGAUAUCAGGAGGAACACCGGUGGCGAAGGCGGGUCUCUGGGCCGAUACUGACACUGAGAAGCGAAAGCGUGGGGAGCGAACAGG
rnacentral:rRNA from 1 species